AUGCUCGCUUCAGCACGUAUACUAAAAUUGGAACAAUGCUGAGAAGAUUAGCAUGGCCCCUGUAUAAAGGAUAACACGCAAAUUCAUGAAGCAUUCCAUAUCUUA
ensembl:snRNA U6 U6 spliceosomal RNA